CCCCCCCCCUUCUUCUGGGUCAAUUUUAUGUUGUGUCUAAGCCCCUGUUACAAUGCUGAAGGAGUUUAUUGUAAAUUGAAUGUCAUCUUGUUGUAAUAUUGGUUUUCUUUGAUUAAAAAAAGAGUAAAGCUUGUACUUGCAACUUAACCCAAUGAUCACAUACUAUUGCGUUUAUUUUCAUUGCGCAUGCGCAACUUUCUUCAUCAAUUUUUAACUGCGUCAACUAUUUUCGACACACCGGAAACCCCCUGAACCUCGUCACACGGGUUCCAGCCGAAGGGAUUAUUUUAUCAAUCUUUGAGUAAAGUUGUGUUUAAAUGUUUGUGUUCGACAAAGUGAAGAAAACUUUUACAGAAGUUUCGGAAACGAAUGUAACGCACAAAACGCGUUCUGGAUGAAGACUCGUCAACAGACGUGGAAAUAAUUUUGACUCCCUACUAUGCCAAUAAAAUAUAUAAUAAUAAUAAUAAUAAUAAUAAUAAUAAUGAUGAUGAUAAUAAUAAUAACAACAAUAAUGUGAGUGCUAACCUGUCAGCUGAUUAUGGUUACGGUUGUGUUCAGACAGAUCAGUCCAUCCUACGGCCCAUUUACAUGGCGGCAUUUUUUUGUCCUAAUUGAACGAUUACGUUUGUCUUAAUUUGUGGGUUUCUGUUUCCUCGCUUUAUUUAUUUAUUUACUUACUUACUUACUUACUUACUUACUUACUUGUUUAUUUUUAUUUAACAGGGACUCAAAAGAGAAGCCAAAUUAUCUCUGAGGCCCAGCUGCGAUGCAGCUUUAACCCCGCCCAUUCCCAUUUUCUUGAAUGAAACUGAUGGCAGACUUCCAUUUUAAAUGGCAUCAAAUUAUCCAUCAAUACAUCCAUCUCUAUACCGCUUCAUCCUUCUCAGGGUCACGGGGGAACCUGGAGCCUAUCCCAGGGAGCAUCGGGCACGAGGCGGGGUCCCUAACCGAUAAACACUUUAUUAUUAAACAGUCUUUAAGCACUUUAUUUCCACUUUUCACGUUUUUAUUGAGAAUAAACGUCUUUCCGAUCUGAUAUGUGAUGGGAAAAGGAAGAACAGUGAGUUCGGCAAAAGGCGGAUUUGAACUCGGGUCAAAAGCUACUUUCAGGCGCCACGCCCCCUACAGCGCCACGCCCCCUACCGCACCACGCCCCCUACAGACUACACCACCGUAGACGAUCAGUGGGUCGUGUCUUUUUUCCUCUGGUGUGGCCCAACCAGAUAUUACCCUCCGUCUUCGGCAAUAUAAAAAAAAGAAAGAAAAUAAUUCUUUUGUUUUUAUUUUUUUUGUGAAAAAAAUUAUAUUAUCAGGAUUUUAAGAAAGAUUGCUUUAUGGGGACUUUUUUAGAUACAGGAAGCAACAACUGUUCUGGAGGCAAAUUGUGCCAUUACAGAGGCACCAGAAAGUUGAGGUAUCAUAGGUGCUUUGAGAUAUAUCUAGUCUGACAGAAAAGUAGUCCAAUCAGGACUCGUUAUCGAAUCAGCUGCAGCGUUCUUUCAGAAUGGAAGACUGCAAGCCACCUUAGACCAGUUUGUAGAAGGAUUGCAAACUCUUGGUUUACUGCAAUAGAUGCAGAAGAAAUCUGCACUGCUUUAUGACAUGCACUUCUCCCCACAUUGCAGCAACAGAAGAGCUAUAUAUAAAACAAGACCAUAUGCAACUGGAAAGACGGGUUGUUGAAGGGGCACUACAAGACUGUACACACCAUAUGCAGUAAAAUAAAAUAAGCAUGGGAGGUAUAUGACUCUGAUGAGCUGCCCCCUGGAAUCCCACCCACCAUGACUCGCACUUGAUGAACGGACAGUGGCAGCUCCACAUCCGGGGUGAGUGUAGCUGCUGGUCCCCUUCCCAUUUUACAGACCUCAGCCUGCUUCCUGUUGGCGAUACAGAACCCAGAGAAACGUUAUUAUAGAAGAUCGCUUUUUCUCACCCUGGGUUUCCAUGGUAACUCCUGAAGUCGGCGAUCCAUUGGCAAUGUCUUUAUGCCCUCACUGUGCACACGCAUUAACUCUGAGUGAGUAAAAGGAGCUUGAUUGAACUUCAAGGUUGAUUGAAGAGUUCAGGGUUUAUGUGUUGGAUAUCCUGGGAAUGCCCUAUAGUGAACAUUAUUAAAAUGCCCACAAAAAGGUUGUCACUGAAAGUCCCAAGGACAUCAGCUGUUUGGUAGGAACCCCGCCCAAAAUGAUCAAACCACACGGAAAUGUUUAACCUUGACUUUUAUUGCACAAUAUUCCCAUAAAAUUGGGAAAGAUUAAAAUGAAGAAAGGCCAUAACAAAAGAUAUGUACAAAUGCAUGACGAAGACUUAAGCAAUAUAUACAAUUUGUGUGAACCAAGACAUGCUGUGCUAAAUAAUUUAUACGUGAUCACGUAGAAAGAAUUAGAUAUAAAUACACAUUCAAGAAGACAAAUGAUAAAUGCAUCUCACACACUAUUUUUAACUUGUAAAAUAAAAUAACCUACGCAAAGCCUCUCCUCUUUUCAUGUUUUUUUCUCUCCAUGUUUUGUUAAGACUCAGAUGCAUGGCCUUAUUUCAGAGCAAAAAAUCUGUCAAAAUGAGUAAAAAACUAAUACAUUUGUUCGAUACAGUUUUAUAAAAUUCCUUUUAUAAGGUUAUUUAUAUCACCCUUUUGUGGGUCCUUUUGGGCUGUCCAAGCACAGCAUUAUCAACAGACACAUACACUAUCUGAUCAAAAGUUUGUGGACACCAGAGCAUCACACCUAUAUGAGGGCCUUGCCCAAACUGUUGCACAAAGUUAGAAGCAAACAAUUGUAUAUAGUGUGACCUCACUAAUGCUCUUGUGGUUGAAUUCCCCACAGCCAAAUUCCAAAAUCGAGCAGAAAGACUUCCCAGAAGAGUGAAGGUUAUUAGAACAGCAAAAGGGGAGAAAAACUGGAACAGGAUGUUAACAAAGCACACAUGGGUGUGAUGGUCAGAUGUCCACAAACCUUUGUCCGUAUAGUGUAUUUGCAAUUUCAUUUAUUCAGAAGUAAACAUAGUACAGUGGCUUCAAAGCUGAAGAAAGUUCACUGUAUAACAUCCCAGCACUUUCAAACACAAAUGUAUACAAAUUCCUUUCGAACACAUCACAGCAUAUUUUUUAUAUUGCCUUCCUGAAUGGAAGCAGAAAACGACUUCCCUUAGCCAGUAAAAAUGCUCUGUGCAAAUCACCCGCGAUUAUUUGAGGUAGUGCUGUACCAAUGAGAUUCUCCACCUCUUUUGCUGAUUAACACCAAGACUAUUUAUAGGAUUAAUAUGGUAAACAAAGAAUAUUUUCAGGUUUUAAUUAAAAAUGAACAUAAAUCAAAAUAGACUGAUUUCAAUAUCCACAUGCUAAUGUCAAAUAGCCAUCAAUGCUUUUUUUUUUUUUUUUUUUUUUUUGUAAAUCACCUUGUCUAUGGUAUUUUUUUUUUUUUUUGCUUUUAUGGUUAUUUUCAGGGUAAAGGCCUAAAAUAAAUAUAAUCUAUAUAUAAAAAUACAAGUUUAAAGAUUACGGUCUUUGAAAUGAAAAUAAAAUCGGAUAUUUCCGGUCCUUUACUGGAAUUUUCAGGCCAAACUCCCAAUUCCUCAAAACAUUUCUAAGGCUUUUAGGGGUACUUUCACACGUGCAGCGUUCUGUCCAUUUGGAUCAGACCGGACCCUGGUGUUUUCCUCCUGGUGUUCUGCUUUGCCACAGUUGGGUUUUCAGAACACAACGAACAGUGAGACCGUAUGACCCGGAUCAAAGGACAGAGUUGAGCACUGCAGUAAUGCAAUAUGUUCUGGAUACAGAUGUGGCCAUUACAAAUACACGUCAAAGGAAACGGGAGCCUAUGAUUUCAUGCGGAAUCACGCGGAAUCACGCACAUGCUGCGG